GCUGCAGAAUUUUUGGUGAGGGGAGAAGAUGCUGAGUAGCUGAUCAGAAGAUGCCCCUUACUGGUUUGGAGGUUGCUCUUUUAUAGCUGAAGAAUUCCAUCCUUCUAGGGUUUUGAAAUCCCUUUUUAAUUUGGCUUGUGAUUCCUCUUUUAAUGUUGAAUUUAAUUGCAACUGGAAUUCCUUAAGUGAGAAACUCUUUCGUGGCUCUUGGAAUUGUUUUGGUAGUGAUUGAGUUGGAUUUGGACUUCUGAAAACUCAAAAUUCGGUUUCCUGAACAAUUUCCUGCUCUGCUGUAUUUUCUGCUGUCAUUGUGAUCGGAGCAGUGAUUUGGGCAAAUCACUGGUCCAAUCACUUUCUGCAAGUCUAUGCUAUCUCUGCUAGUGAUUUGGGCAGUUUCUGCGAGUGAUUUGGGCAAAUCACUGGUCCAAUUACUUCUGUUUGUUGCCUCCAGGUUUCUGCUUCAGCUUGAUUUGGGCAGUGAUUUGGGCAAAUCACUGACCCAAUCACUUUUCUGUCAUUUUUUGCACUUUUUCUCCAUUUUUCCAAUUUCUUCCUUUUCUGUAAAAACAAGGUAAAAACCAUAAAUUAAGCUAAAGAAUGUGUAAAUAAACAAUAAUAAAGAUCAUAAAAAUAUGGCUAAAUUAUGCUUGAUCAAAUACCCCACACCUAACUUUUUGCUUGUCCUCAAGCAACAAAUAACUUAGUCAAUCAAGCUCCUUUUUUCUUUUGAGCCUAAGUACCACUUAAUCAGCCCCCCUAGACUCCUAAAUUGAAGUAUCACAGUAUAGAAUACAUGCACCAAGGUUGUUUUCUUCUUUUCCUUGUUUCCCCUCACCUACCAUGGUCAAGAAAAAGGUUUUUGAUUUAAUCAUACUUAUUCUCUUUAUAUGAGCUCAAUGCAACCUCUAAGAGUGACUUGCCCUUCUUUGAGUAUUUUAUUUUAUUUUAUUCAGCAGCACUUUUUAUUCUUGCCUGAAAAAGUCACUAACCUUUUUACGCGAAUGUGCAUAUUGGUGAUACCCACCCCCGGUUACUCAGUCAGUCACUUGUUCAAGUGGCUACUAGCUCUGUUCAUAGCUUAUUUGGCCAUUGAAACAGGUUUAUGAUUUGUGCUUUGUGCUGGGUUUUUUUUUUUUCUUUUNNN
rnacentral:lncRNA from 1 species